ACGGGCGUAGUUCAAGGGUAGAAUAGAAGUCUCCAAAACUUUUGAUGGGAGUUCGAAUCUCUCCGCCCGUG
rnacentral:tRNA from 2 species